rnacentral:rRNA from 1 species
AGUCGUGCGAGAAAGUAUCUUCGGAUAUGAGUAGAGCGGCGAACGGGUGAGUAACGCGCAGGAAUGUACCUAGUAGAAGGGGAUAGCCCGAGGAAACUCGGAUUAAUACCGUAUACCUCCUUCGGGAGAAAGAAGGCCUCUCUUUGAAGCUUUCGCUACUAGAUCAGCCUGCGUAAGAUUAGCUUGUUGGUGAGGUAAAGGCUCACCAAGGCAACGACCUUUAGCUGGUCUGAGAGGACGAUCAGCCACAUUGGGACCGAGACACGGCCCAGACUCCUGCGGGAGGCAGCAGUGGGGAAUAUUGGACAAUGGGCGCAAGCCUGAUCCAGCCAUACCGCGUGUGUGAAGAAGGCCUUCGGGUUGUAAAGCACUUUAAGCAGGGAGAAAAAAAUAUAGGCUAAUACCCUAUGUUCUUGAUGUUACCUGCAGAAUAAGCACCGGCUAAUUCCGUGCCAGCAGCCGCGGUAAUACGGAAGGUGUAAGCGUUAAUCGGAAUUACUGGGCGUAAAGCGCGCGUAGGUGGUUUGUUAAGUUGGAUGUGAAAGCCCUGGGCUCAACCUAGGAACUGCAUCCAAAACUGACUGACUAGAGUACGAUAGAGGGAGGUAGAAUUCAUAGUGUAGCGGUGGAAUGCGUGGAUAUUAUGAAGAAUACCAGUGGCGAAGGCGGCCUCCUGGAUCUGUACUGACACUGAGGUGCGAAAGCGUGGGUAGCGAACAGGAUUAGAUACCCUGGUAGUCCACGCCGUAAACGAUGACAACUAUCUGUUGGGAGGCAAUGCUUUCAGUGGAGCAGCUAACGUUUUAAGUU